UGCGGAAGGAUCAUUACCGAGUGCAGGUCUGCCCCCGGGCAGGCCUAACCUCCCACCCGUGAAUACCUGACCAACGUUGCUUCGGCGGUGCGCCCCCCCCCCGGGGGUAGCCGCCGGAGACCACACCGAACCUCCUGUCUUUAGUGUUGUCUGAGCUUGAUAGCAAACCUAUUAAAACUUUCAACAAUGGAUCUCUUGGUUCCGGCAUCGAUGAAGAACGCAGCGAACUGCGAUAAGUAAUGUGAAUUGCAGAAUUCAGUGAAUCAUCGAGUCUUUGAACGCACAUUGCGCCCCCUGGCAUUCCGGGGGGCAUGCCUGUCCGAGCGUCAUUGCUGCCCUUCAAGCCCGGCUUGUGUGUUGGGUCGUCGUCCCCCCCGGGGGACGGGCCCGAAAGGCAGCGGCGGCACCGCGUCCGGUCCUCGAGCGUAUGGGGCUUUGUCACCCGCUCGAUUAGGGCCGGCCGGGCGCCAGCCGGCGUCUCCAACCUUCUAUUUUACCAGGUUGACCUCGGAUCAGGUAGGGAUACCCGCUGAA
rnacentral:misc_RNA from 1 species